UCCACAGAGGUUCAGCUCCCAGCUCACCCCUCUCAAGGAAAUCUCCUCGCCCUUCUAGCUCUUCAAAACUCCUCGUAGCGACGCGAUGUCCUGCAGGAGAACUUCAACCAGCUUCUGAGCACACGGCUCGACAGAAUCGCGAAUGCAGAACUCUACAACCACAAAGCCAGGAGACAUCACAGAACUGCAAACUGAACAGCAACUUUCUUUUCCUCUUUCCCUCGGACUGAGGUGCAGCUCCCAGUUCACCCCUCUCAAGGAAAUCUCCUCGCCCUUCUAGCUCUUCAAAACUCCUCGUAGCGACGCGAUGUCCUGCAGGAGAACUUCAACCAGCUUCUGAGCACACGGCUCGACAGAAUCGCGAAUGCAGAACUCUACAACCACAAAGCCAGGAGACAUCACAGAACUGCAAACUGAACAGCAACUUUCUUUUCCUCUUUCCCUCGGACUGGUAACAUAAUCUGGGCUUAAUAAUUAUACAUGCUAAGCAAGACUGUUUACUCAAUUCUGUGUGUUUUCAAGUUUGAUAUAUGCUGUGACGUUGAAGGUAUAAGUUAAAUGAAGGUUAAUGCUAGUUAGGCUCGCCACAGGCUUUGUCCCUGACUCUAUCCUUAUCUGAUUAACAUCCACACAGACACGCAUGGCAUCUCACCAAGUUAAACCUUCCCCCUCAGCCAUAAACCAACGGCCCACAGAAGAGGGGGCACACACACACCUCCUUGUUAGUUUGAUUGUUUAGUAAUUUGUGUUUUUAUACUUUAUUAUGUUAAUAUUAAUGUUCGUCUUUCACAAAUGUCUGUCAUUAAUAUUGCAUAAGUGAAUUUUGCCAACCGUAACACUGUUAAGAACUCCAUAACCUUCCCUGUUCAUUAUAUAAUCUUUAAUGGUAAAAUAUUGAGAUUUCUAAUUGAAAUAGAUCUAAAUGAGACUGGUGCCCCGCGAGAACUUUAACCAAUUAAAGUUAUGAUUUAAUAUUAAUAUUUUAAAUAUCAAUGUUUUAUAUUUUAUUUUGAUUUCCAAAUUUAUUGAGUGCAUAAAGGCACACCAUUCUAUGGAAACACUUUUUAAGCACUAUUGCACAACAUAAAUGGUGCAGCCCGUGUGAGGCAGAGUAAAGUUGGCAAAAACUUCAUGACUAUGCAAUAUUAAUGUGUUUUAAAUUUUUGGCAAAAGCCAGAAAUUGGUGAAUUUGGAAUUUUCAGUCAAGCCAGAGGCUUGAAUUCAAUUCCACUAGUCUGCUACCGGAGUAGACAUUCAACCGUAUUUACAAACAAGUGCAUUGUGGUGAAAUUUAAUUUACUCAUAAAUUAAAUGUUUAUUAAUAAUUAAUUAUUAAGAACUACCACUUUAAGUCCCAUAUUGUUACCCUAAAAGAUUGCUAUUGUUGCUAAUAAUACUAGUUGAACGUUCUUUGUUGAAAUUUUAAGAAUUUCUUUUAACAUUUGAAUAUCACAUAUUCAAUGUUAACUGGUCAAGCUGCAAAAUUGCCUGUAACUGUUAAAGGCUGUUGAAUUAAGACAUAGCUUACCCUAUGUAACAGAGCUUGUACCUGGCUGUUACUGCCUAGCAUAUCAGCCUAAGUUGGAUAAGAGAACAUGAGAAAGAGCCACAGCAUGCUUACAGCUCUGUGAAUUUAUAGAACCCCUAACUGUUACUGCCCUGCAUAUCAGUUAGUGUGAUUCAAAGUUUGGUGAAUUGUUUUACUCUACAUAGUUUUGGUUAGGCUAGUGUGUGAUCAAAUCCACACUACAAGGUGUCUGCCAUCGCAACACCAAAGCCAACCACACUGUUGUUGAUUUAUAAACUUAAAUCUAAUCCUUACAUUACUGAUUCAACAAUGGAGAACCCCUUUGUAGAACAGUUUGUUUCUUCCCUAGCAACGAGCCUGACCCCCGGCUAUCCUGAAUUCAUCAACAAGUUGAACUUCAAUGAGUGUAAUAAAGAAAUAUAUUCUCUACUUAAUGACAGGUGUGAUGCUCAAACAGCAUCAAAGGGUCCAUUGUUGAAAUGUAUGAUUCUUAAUUUCCACAGGCAAAUCAACCUUGCCUGUCAGAGCAAAGCAGCCAUGGAACAGGAGGUACAGUGCCUUGCAUAAGUAUUCACCCCCUUUGGACUUUUCUACAUUUUGUCAUGGUAUAACCACAGAUUAAAAUUUAUUUCAUCGUGAGUUUAUGUAAUGGACCAACACAAAAUAGUGCAUCAUUUGGAAGUGGGGGGAAAUAUUACAUGGAUUUCACAAUUGUUUAUAAAUAAAAAUCUGAAAAGUG